rnacentral:rRNA from 1 species
GUCUACGGCGCCCUGAACGCGCCCGAUCCCGUCUGAUCGCGGAAGCUAAGCGGGGUUGGGCCAGGUGAGUACUUGGAUGGGAGACCAUCUGGGAAGACCAGGUGCUGUAGGCG